rnacentral:snoRNA from 1 species
AAGCCAGCCAUUAACUCUGCUUACCUUGAAUGGGUUUCUGCAGAGAUGGAGAAGGAGCUGGCAAUAGCAAAGCCAUGUUACGAGCCUUGAUGAUAUGCAGGUCAUUAAGGUCCCUGAAGAUGGCUACAGCU